rnacentral:rRNA from 1 species
CCUACGGGAGGCAGCAGUGGGGAAUAUUGCACAAUGGGCGAAAGCCUGCCGCAGCGACGCCGCGUGAGUGCUGAAGGUCUUCGGGUCGUAAACCUCUGUCAGCAGGGAAGAACGCUCACUGUGCUAAUCAGCCAUGAAUUGACGUUACCUGCAGAGGCAGCACCGGCUAACUCCGUGCCAGCAGCCGCGGUAAUACGGAGGGUGCAAGCGUUAAUCGGAAUUACUGGGCGUAAAGCGCUCGUAGGCGGUAGGUCAAGUCAAGUGUGAAAUCCCCGCGCUCAACGUGGGAACUGCCUUGGAAACUGGCAAACUGGAGUGUGGUAGAGGAGAGUAGAAUUCCAGGUGUAGGAGUGAAAUGCGUAGAGAUCUGGAGGAACACCAGUGGCGAAGGCGACCAGCUGGAAAAUAACUGACGCUGAGGAGCGAAAGCGUGGGUAGCAAACAGGAUUAGAUACCCUUGUAGUC